GGAAAACCAACAGGACCCUAGAAUGACGUUUUGAAAGAAAAAGAAAUAAAUGAAAAAUAAAUUUUUAUAAAAUUAUGACAUUCUGGAGGUGAAGAGGUUAAAGUCAUGACAAAACCUGCUGAGAAUAUUUCUCUUCUCCCGCCAAAAAAUUUCUAAAGAAUUAAUUCAAUUGAGAAUGCUUACGAAUAUAUGAAAUGAUGAAAAGUCAGAUUUACCAUCUAUGUUCCAGAGUCUCAGGAUUUCAAAUCUUUCUAAGAAAAGCUCCAAGUCUAUUUUUACUCAGUUCUGGCCUGCCAGAAUUAAAGCAGAUAUUAAAUAAUGAAGAAAAUGAAGACCAGAGACAUGAAGGAAACAUAGACUUCUUCAUUGUGAAAAGUUGGCCAGAAGGAAAAAUAUCAUCAAAGCCAUGGAUCCAUUAAUGAUAUUGAUUAUACCUGAGCUCCAGGAAGACCUCUUUCCCCUGGGAAACCACGUAAUCCUGCUGGUCCAUCUUUCCCUGAGAUACCUUGAGGACCUGGAUCACCCUAAAGAAUAUAAUAAACAUCGUCAAGACAGAUUAAUUUCUACACAUCUUUCUACAAACAAAAUUGUGAUUACCUCUAAACUACUCACCAGGAAGACCUUGCUCACCAGGAGGGCCAGGAGGGCCAGGAUGCCCACGUUCCCCUAUUGGACCAGUCUCACCGGUUGGUCCCUAAAUUAGAUAAGCAAAAUCACUUUAGAUUGCUCUUUUAUUUUUGGCAAAGAUAACACAAACUCAAAAACAGUAUUAUUACAUUUACAAAAGUUUAUCAUCCUCACUUAUUCUCAUGAUGUCCUACAAAACACUUCACAUAAAGCACUGAAAGUAGCAUAUCAAGUAAGAGUCUAAAAAGAUUUUAUAUAAUCUUGGUUAGAAUCUGAGUGUAAAAGGAAAGUACAUAAAUAAAGUCCAAAAAGAUGUUUUCUUUGCUUAAUACAAUAAUUUCUGCAGAGUGUGGCCAGUCCAAGUAUUAUGAAAACUAUGAUUUUUAAUUACAGUUUUAUCCCAUUCCUUCUUUUCAUAUGAGGUGUCAAAUCAGCUUAGUAGUAAAGAGGCAUAGAAACCACAUUGGUAGCCACUCAAUGAAUCACUGCUUGAAAAUAAACUUAGGGCCAUGAGAACCCAAAAAGCCAGUGGUUCUCCCUGGAAUUUCCAUGGACUGAAAAUUUCUCUACUAUUAAUCUAUAUUCAUUUGACAAAGUCUAGGGAAUGUGGCAUGGGAUCCUGAAGGCAGUGAGUAUGGGUCAGCAGUUCCUCUCGGCCAAAGGCUGUAACAAAUGGUCAGCUGCCUUAAAUUGCAGCAAAUGCCAAAGUGAACAAUAUCAGGUCAUUUACGUGUCCCCUGAGUGGUGCUGUUUUGUGGUGCUUGAGUAUAGCAGGCUUUCAUGUAUAAAUAGAGGAUGGUGAUCAGUUGCUCUCUAUCUUAAUAAAAAGCAAAAUGAAGGGUUUAAGUUAAACAAAGAGAAAAUUUUUAGAUGCUAAGGUUGUUAAACAGGAGAAUGUGUUCCUGCACUUGCUUAUGAAGUAUAAAUAUUUUUUUCCUAAAAAUGCAACAUAGUCUUAACUAUUUAUCUUGGAUAAGGUAUACACCUGUCCCAAUUUGGGUAUACAUUUCUAGGUUUAAAUUUCUUUAAUUAUACAAUUGCUGUAAUUUCUCAACUUAACAUUAAUGUGUAAACAUUUAUCCAAAACAUGAUGUUUUCUUAACUAUCUGAACACCAGAAUUUGAACAGUAAGGAAUACAGAAUUAACCAUAAUUGAACAGCGAUCACCGAGACAAAAAUGAUCAGAGAUUCACAUAACUGUUUAAAGAAAAGGGUGCAUAUUCAGUAUUGCAAUCUAUAUUAUUCCCAUUAAACCAAAUCUUUUGUCUUCACAUGAAAGUAUGGCUACAUUUAAAAUAGGCUGUUGGUUUUUUUUCUCUUAAAAAGGACCAAUAAAAAAUGUAAUUCAAGGAAGGUGCAUCUUCAGUAAAACACCAGUAUUUUUAUGCCUUCAUGUAAAGAGGGGAACGAAAAAAGAACACAAGUCUCAGAAGUUU
rnacentral:lncRNA from 1 species